rnacentral:piRNA from 1 species
UAAUAGGAUAAAAGCGCACAGAUCUGA